UGGUGGGGUGACUUGUCUGCUUAAUUGCGAUAACGAACGAGACCUUAACCUGCUAAAUAGCCCGCAUUGCUCCGGCAGUGCGCUGGCUUCUUAGAGGGACUUUUGGCUCAAGCCGAAGGAAGUUUGAGGCAAUAACA
rnacentral:rRNA from 1 species